UACGGGGGGAGCAAACGUUGUUCGGAAUCACUGGGCGUAAAGGGCGUGUAGGCGGCUGAAUAAGUGGGAUGUUAAAUCCCCCGGCUCAACCGGGGACCUGCAUCUCAUACUGUUCAGCUCGAGCACAUCAGAGGAGACUGGAAUUCCCGGUGUAGCAGUGAAAUGCGUAGAUAUCGGGAGGAACACCAGUGGCGAAGGCGAGUCUCUGGGAUGAUGCUGACGCUGAUGCGCGAAAGCUAGGGGAGCGAACGGG
rnacentral:rRNA from 1 species